UUCCCUCAAAUGAGUGUGGGUAUGAUAUGAAGAUCUGCUCAAAGCCAAAGUCUCCCCAUGGCCUGACAGCCUUAAAGAAAGAAAACAAUUCUGCAACAGAUGCCUGAUAGCUACAAUCCCAAGCUCUGCCAAAAUGAUGGCUGUCUUGGUACUUCAGGUGGAAUUCGUCCUUUUCAUCUUCAAAACUGGAAGCAGAAAGUUAGUCGAACUAAGAAAGCAGAAUUCAUACGUACAGCUGAAAAAUUUAAAAAUCAGGUUAUUAAUCUAGAAAAAGACAAACACAGUCAUUUCUACAACCAAAAAAGUGACUUCAGAAUUGAACAUAGUAUGCUGGAAGAAUUGGAAAAUAAACUGAUUAACAGCAGGAAAACAGAAAGAGCAAAAAUCCAGCAACAAUUGGCCAAAAUAUACAGCAAUGUAAAGAAGCUUCAGCAUCAGUUAAAAGAUGCGAAGCCUACACCUGAUUUUGUUGAAAAGCUCAGAGAAAUGAUGGAGGAAAUUGAAAAUGCAAUUAACACUUUUAAGGAAGAGCAGAGGUUGAUAUAUGAAGAGCUUAUUAAGGAAGAGAAAACAACUAAUAAUGAGUUGAGUGCCAUAUCAAGAAAACUUGACACAUGGGCUUUGGGUGAUCCAGGAACAGAGAAGGCUUUCAGAGCAGCAUCGGCCAAAGUUCCUGCGGACAGAGUCACACCAAGUGCUCUUCCAGAAGCCGUGGCAGAGUUUGAAAGGUUCCUUCAGCUGACAGGAGGGCGCCAGGGGGGCUGGGACGAUUAUGACCACCAGAACUUUGUGAAGACGAGAAACAAGCAUAAAGGGAAGCCAGCAUUCAUGGGAGAAGUUCUAGAGCACCUUCCCGGAAGAACGCAGGAUGAAGUUCAACAGCAUGAGAAAUGGUAUCAAAAUUUUCUGGCCCUAGAAGAAAGAAAAAAAGAGUCUAUUCAGCAUUGGAAAACCAAAAAGCAGCAAAAAAUGGAGGAAAUUUUCAAAUUAAAGGAAAAAGACAGCAUACAAGUACUUUCUCAUAAUAAACAGGAAGAUAAUCAAAAACAAAAAGAAGAACAAAGAAAGAAGCAAAAAUUGGCCAUUGAAGCUUGGAAAAAACAGAGAAGUAUAGAAAUGUCAACGAAAAACGCUUCCCAGUUAAAAGAGGAGGAAGAGAGAGAAAAGCAGCAGCAGAGAGCACGUCAGCGCCAGUGUAAACUAAAGCUGCUGCUGGAAACCUACACCCAACAGAAGAAAGAGCAGGCAGAGUUCUUGAGACUUGAAAAGGAGAUACGGGAAAAGACAGAAAAGGCAGAAAGAAGGAAAACUGCUGCUGAUGAAAUUUCCAGGUUUCAAGAAAGAGAUUUACAUAAACUUGAAUUGAAAAUUCUGAAUAGACAAUUAAAGGAAGAUGAGAAGGCAGAAAAACAAAGAAAACUGGCAAAAUUAAAAGAAAAGGUUGAAAACAAUGUUAGUAGAGAUCCAUCUAGACUUUACAAACCUACCAAAGGUUGGGAAGAACGGACCAAAAAGAUAGGACCAACAGGCUCUGGGCCACUUCUACAUAUCCCACAUAGGGCUAUUCCAACCUGGAGACAAGGAGUUUAGAAAAUAUGGGAUCAUGAAAUUCUCCUUUAGUUGAUGAGAAUGUUAGCAUAUGGAGUUAUAGGAGGAGAGAAUGACCAUGUCCUUAAAAUUUAUUAGCCUCUUCAGAUUGAUUAUUGUGUUGCAUGUGAAUUGGCAGCUGUUCCCGUCUCUGUUCAGCCUUCCUGGGGCCCACACUGUGGUUUAUAAACUCUGUGUCCUUCACAUCUUCUCGACUGAUGCACUUUUCUUUGGUGCUUUGUUUGCCUCAAGAUAUGAAAGUUUUGUUUUGUAACAACAUCGGAAGUAAGCUGACUUUAAAGGACUAUGAUAUUUCUUAGUGAUAUUUAAAAUGUUUUAAAAUUGCUAGACUAAUAUAUUUGGUCAAAAGAGUCAGUUUUAAAAUUCCAAACUUUUAUAAAUGAAAACACAAUUUAACUUCAUUCAACUCAACUUUAUGGAAAAAAUUUUUUAAAAUCUUAGUUCCUAACUUUAAGUAGUUCCCAGCUUAACACGAAAGGCAUCAUAUACAUGAUAAAUAUAAGAAAUUUCAUUUCUUAUAACUUUUAUCUCAGAGUAUUUUAAUUAUAAUUUGAUCAUUUAGGUCAAAUGAUUUAGAUACAAAUUUACUAGGAGUAGCGUUUAAAACCUUUUCUUAUUUCACAGUUAAUAUUCAAAGUAGAUGGCUUCCAGAUUUUUGAAACUGAAUUCUAUUUAUAUAAUUCUUGGUGCAAAAAGAGAAUUAAUAUAAAACACUGUUACUCAGGAAUGCCCAUUUUAUUUGUUGCACUUGUUCUUCUUAACUUUUUUAAAUGAUUUGAGGUGGUUUAGAAAUAAAAUAUAAAGAAUAGGACAAAAUAAUUUAAAAACAGAAUUGAAUAACAUCAAGAUAGAGCAAAGUAAAGGUUUCUUAUGCAUUGCUUUCUAACAUGUUGCUUUUUUGUUGUACACAA